UAAUACGUAGGUGGCGAGCGUUAUCCGGAUUUACUGGGCGUAAAGUGGGUGCAGACGGCUUUUCAAGUCAGAUGUAAAAUCUCUCAGCUUAACUGAGAGGGAUCAUUUGAGACUGCUAAACUAGAGGACAACAGGGGGAGGUAGAAUUCCCGGUGUAGUGGUGGAAUGCGUAGAUAUCGGGAGGAAUACCAGUGGCGAAGGCGGCCUCCUGGGUUGUUUCUGACGUUCAUGCCCGAAGGUGUGGGGAGCAAACAGGAUUAGAUACCCUGGUAGUCCACACUGUAAACGAUGGACACUAGGUGUAGGGGGUAUCGACCCCCUCUGUGCCAAAGCUAACGCGUUAAGUGUCCCGUCUGGGGAGUACGACCGCAAGGUUA
rnacentral:rRNA from 1 species